rnacentral:rRNA from 1 species
UAAUACGUAGGGGCCUAGCGUUGUCCGGAUUUAUUGGGCGUAAAGAGCUCGUAGGCGGUUCGGCAAGUCGGAUGUGAAAUCUCCACGCUUAACGUGGAGGGGCCAUUCGAAACUGCCGUGACUCGAGUCCGGUAGGGGAGUGUGGAAUUCCCGGUGUAGCGGUGAAAUGCGCAGAUAUCGGGAGGAACACCAGUAGCGAAGGCGGCACUCUGGGCCGGUACUGACGCUGAGGAGCGAAAGCGUGGGGAGCAAACAGGAUUAGAUACCCUGGUAGUCCACGCCGUAAACGUUGGGCACUAGGUGUGGGACUCUAUCGACGGGUUCCGUGCCGUAGCUAACGCAUUAAGUGCCCCGCCUGGGGAGUACGGCCGCAAGGCUA